rnacentral:rRNA from 1 species
UACGUAGGGUGCGAGCGUUAAUCGGAAUUAUUGGGCGUAAAGAGCUCGUAGGCGGUCUGUCGCGUCGGAUGUGAAAACCCAGGGCUCAACCCUGGGCCUGCAUUCGAUACGGGCAGACUAGAGUUCGGUAGGGGAGACUGGAAUUCCUGGUGUAGCGGUGAAAUGCGCAGAUAUCAGGAGGAACACCGGUGGCGAAGGCGGGUCUCUGGGCCGAAACUGACGCUGAGGAGCGAAAGCGUGGGGAGCAAACAGG